rnacentral:lncRNA from 1 species
GCUCAAGCGAUUCUCUUGCCUCAGCCUCCUGAGUAGCUGAAGCUACAGGUGCCCUCAGUGUAUUGGAUGAUACCUGCCAAUACUGGAAAGGCCAUGUGACCACACACCAAGAAGCUAGCUGUCUGCCAGCCAGGAAGAGAGCCCUGACCAGUAAUCAAAUUGGCUGAAGACUUGAUCUUGGACUCCUUGUCUCCAGAAAUGGCUGCUGUAGUAUCCUAGGGGUCUACUCCAGUCCCUGGUUACCUCGAAUUUUCCAGUCCCUGGAUGUCUCACCAGUGAAGGUUGUGAAACAGCAAAAAUGGCAGCCUGCACCCUCCUCUGGGAGCUCCAUCCCAAGAAGAUGUUGGCACUUCUUAGGAAGGAGCCAUCCAUGUCUGAAGAGAAGAAAUGAUAAUUAACUUCAUCAUGUGGAAAGCUUUAGAAGGAAGUAUCUUGUCCUUCUGUCCAAACCCGCCUCCUCCUUACCACCCCCAAUAAAAAUAAAAGCCAAACAAAUAAAACAUUAGCAGUAGCUCUGAGUUUCUUCCUUUCACUUUUUCUCUCUCUUCAUGCCUUUUCUCCUCCAUUCCUUCCUUCUUUCAAAUCAUUUUUACUAGUUUAAGAGAAUAAUUCAAUCUAUAUUUAGAAAUCAGACUUAAAACUUCAAAAAUUAUACUGAAAUAGCUUCCCCUUAAAGGGUGAAACAGUCAUGAUAAAAAUAACAACCGAUAGAAUAAAAUAAUAUAAAAUUAGCUGAGUUUAUAGUUUCUUUUACACCUCCAUAAUUUAUGUGGAUUUGGAAAUACAGACAGUAUACUGAAAACUAAGAAGUUUUCUAUGAAUUAUGAGAAUUUGCAAUCCACAUAGGCUUAAGUCUAAUGUUAGAAGAUAAAACAAAUUGACCUUAAAUAACUUUCUGACAUAACCUCCCCAUUUCAUGGAUGAAAAACCCUAAAGCUCUCAUAAGUAAAGUGAUUUACUUCAGGACACAAACUAGUUGAUUUAGUUUGGAUGUUUGUCCCCUCCAAAUCUCAUGUUGAAAUGGAAUCCCCAGUGUUGGAGGUGGGGCCUGGUGGGAGGUGUUUGUGUCAUGGGGCAGAUCCAUUAUCCUUAUGAGCUGCUUGGUGCUAUCCUUGUGAUAGUGAGUGAGUUCUCAUGAAAUCUGGUUGUUUAAAAAUUUGUGGCACCUCCCCACCAGCCUUGCUCCUGCUCUUGCGGUGUGAUAUGCCUGCUGCCUCUUCACCUUACACCGUGAUUAUAAGCUUCCUGAGGCCUCACCAGAAGCAGUU